GUGGGGAAUUUUGGACAAUGGGCGCAAGCCUGAUCCAGCAAUGCCGCGUGCAGGAAGAAGGCCUUCGGGUUGUAAACUGCUUUUGUACGGAACGAAAAGGCUCUGGCUAAUACCUGGAGCUCAUGACGGUACCGUAAGAAUAAGCACCGGCUAACUACGUGCCAGCAGCCGCGGUAAUACGUAGGGUGCGAGCGUUAAUCGGAAUUACUGGGCGUAAAGCGUGCGCAGGCGGUGCUGUAAGACAGGCGUGAAAUCCCCGGGCUCAACCUGGGAAUUGCGCUUGUGACUGCAGCGCUGGAGUGCGGCAGAGGGGGAUGGAAUUCCGCGUGUAGCAGUGAAAUGCGUAGAUAUGCGGAGGAACACCGAUGGCGAAGGCAAUCCCCUGGGCCUGCACUGACGCUCAUGCACGAAAGCGUGGGGAGCAAACAGGAUUAGAUACCCUGGUAGUCC
rnacentral:rRNA from 1 species